rnacentral:rRNA from 1 species
CCUACGGGUGGCAGCAGGGAGGAAUAUUGGUCAAUGGGCGAGAGCCUGAACCAGCCAAGUCGCGUGAAGGAUGACGGCCCUACGGGGUGUAAACUUCUUUUGUCAGGGAGCAAGGGGGUCCACGCGUGGGCUUAGCGAGAGUACCUGAAGAAAAAGCAACGGCUAACUCCGUGCCAGCAGCCGCGGUAAUACGGAAGGCCCGAGCGUGAUCCGGAUUCAUUGGGCUUAAAGGGAGCGUAGGCGGGCGGUCAAGUCAGCUGUAAAAUCGCGCGGCGCAACCGCGCCCCGCAGUUGAAACUGGACGCCUUGCGUUCACAACAGUCAGGCGGCAUUCGUGGUGUAGCGGUGACAUGCAUAGAUAUCACGCGGCACCCCGAUUGCGAAGGCAGCCUGCCGGGGUGCGACUGACGCUGUGGCUCGAAUGUGCGGGUAUCAAACCGGAUUAGAUACCCUGGUAGUC